ACAGGAUUCCGGCAGAGAUGUCGGUUCCCUUGUGGCCUGUGUACAGGUGGUGCAAUGGCUGUCGUCAGCUCGUGUCGUGAGAUGUUGGGUUAAGUCCCGCAACGAGCGCAACCCUUGUCCUAUGUUGCCAGCGGGUUAUGCCGGGGACUCGUGGGAGACUGCCGGGGUCAACUCGGAGGAAGGUGGGGAUGACGUCAAGUCAUCAUGCCCCUUA
rnacentral:rRNA from 1 species